CGCAGCGCCUUGUGGGAAAUGUAGUCUCUGCUCCAAUGACGUCAUCAGCACAGGCCGAGGAGGGCGGCUUUUUCAGAUUCUCUCUCCGCCUGUGGCGCUCAGUUCCUUCCCCCUGGUCGCUGGGGAGAACCUGCCGCUCUGCUGACCGUGCUCUGCCGGAACAUGCUCUCCAUGACGAAUGGACAAAAUUUGGAUAAUCCUACCUUCUCCUGAAUGCUGGAUGCUGCUCAGAGAUAAAUUUUAGAAUGUUUGGUCUCUUUUUCCAUGAAAAGAAAACUACUGGAAUUUUGAUGGAAUAUUUGUAUCAGUGACAGAGAUAACCCUUCAUUUUGAUGAAUUUUGAAAAAGUGGUCAUCUUUGUAAAGCUAUAAUUUUAGAAACCUCUGUAUUUGUCCAGGAUUAAGAAAAUGAAUUCGUUUUCGGUAAGUUGUUUACUGAUUUCCCCAAGUGUUUUACAUUGUACUUAGGAAUUUUAUGAGGGUUUGUACACUAAAAAGGAAUGAGUAAAAUGAAAUGAAAUUCAGCAUAAGAAACGCAUAAAAAUGCAAGAUAAAAUUGACAGGGUGAAAUAGGCAGGUUAUAAGACCUUAGAGCCCUGUGAGAUAAGUACAAAUUGGUCUCUAGCUUUCUUAUAUCAUGGGAAAAACACAUUUAUUACAUGGUUUGAAUUGACUUUAAGGGGAGAGCAUGCUAAAUUCUCAAGGGAUAUGAAUCAUGAGAUAGUCAUUACUGGUCACAUAGAUGACAUGGUACACAG